rnacentral:rRNA from 1 species
GACGAACGCUGGCGGCGUGCUUAACACAUGCAAGUCGAGCGGUAAGGCCCUUUCGGGGGUACACGAGCGGCGAACGGGUGAGUAACACGUGGGUGACCUGCCCUCAGCUCUGGGAUAAGCCUGGGAAACCGGGUCUAAUACUGGAUAUGACUCCAUGACGCAUGUUGUGGGGUGGAAAGCCUUGUGCGGCUGAGGAUGGGCCCGCGGCCUAUCAGCUUGUUGGUGGGGUGANGGCCUACCAAGGCGACGACGGGUAGCCGGCCUGAGAGGGCGACCGGCCACGCUGGGACUGAGACACGGCCCAGACUCCUACGGGAGGCAGCAGUGGGGAAUCUUGCGCAAUGGGCGAAAGCCUGACGCAGCGACGCCGCGUGAGGGAUGACGGCCUCGGUGUAAC